CCCAAAUUAAAAAUAUCCAAAGAUUACACUUCUGUGAAAUGUGUUCUCCCUCCCCUCUCUCUUCCCUGGUUCCCUCCCCAGAGACAACUGAGAAAUUGUUACCAGUUCUUUGAUGGUCCUAGCCAGAGCUGGUCUAUAUAUUCCCUUUUCCCUAUAAUGAGAAGAAGAAUCUGGCAGAGCGUUCAUAGCUUCUGUGUUUUGUUUACAUGGAAAUGUGAACAGAGGUAACCUUAUCUUUCUAUUAGAUUUGCCCUCAAAUCCCAACCCAGAUAGCACAGGAGAGCCCACUUCCUGGUGACUUUUUGUUUGUUUUUUUUUUUUUUUAGAAACAAGAACACUUCUCUUUACCCAGCAAAGUGCCUCCUCCAAGGUCCCAGAACCAUUGAGGGUGUUUGGGGGGUUGUGGGGC
rnacentral:lncRNA from 1 species